GACGAACGCUGGCGGCGUGCCUAAUACAUGCAAGUCGAACGCAGUGGGGACGGGUGAGUAACACGUGGGUAACCUCCCAUCAGAGGGGAAAACACUUGGAAACAGGUGAUAAACCGAUACUGAUGGAUGGACUCGCGGUGAAUUAGCUAGUUGGUGAGUGAACGGCUCAACAAGGCCACGAGGCAUAGCCGGCCUGGGAGGGGGAACCACCACAACGGGAAUGGUGCACGGCCCCGACCCCUACGGGAGUCAGCAGUAGGGAAUCUUCGGCAAUUGACGAAAGUCUGACCGCGCAACGGCGCGUGGUUGAAGAAGGUUUUCGGAUCUUAAAACUCUGUUGUUAGAGAAGCGGUAUCUAACCAGAAAGCCACGGCGAACUACGUGCCAGCAGCCGCGGUAAUUC
rnacentral:rRNA from 1 species